CUCUCUCUCUCCACAGUCAUGAGGUCAGCACUGCAUUGUCUCCUGCUGUUCUCAGCUCUUUGGACUCUCUCCUUCUGUGGAACUCGUCAGUUUUAUCUGGUGAACUACAAUAAGAACUGGACUGAAGCUCAGAAAUACUGCAAAGAGAACUUCACUGAUCUGGCAACCAUUGGAAACCAGAGGGAUAUGGAUACUGUAAAAACUACUCUUAACGGGGCAGCAGGUCAUUUCUGGAUUGGACUGAAGCAGAAGAUUCUCUUUGCAAUCAUUCCUUGUGUGGGACUCGUCAGUUUCAUGUGGUGAAUGAAGCAAAGAACUGGACUGAAGCUCAGAAAUACUGCAGAGAGAACUUCACUGAUCUGGCAACCAUUCAGAACCAGGAGGAAAUGGAUGCUGUAAAAGCUGCUAUCAAUGAUUUAAAAGGAGAGAUCUGGAUAGGACUUAAGAUUUACACUGUAAGCAACAGAAAACUUUCACUGAUGGACACACUGAUUAUAAUACAGCAUUAUAUUGUAGUUAUGCUAUAGCCUCCCCUAAAUGGAGGCACUAGACACUAACAAAUACAUGUAAACAAUGGAGAAUAUAUCAUUGUCACUGCCAAGCAAUUAACAUCCAUCUGACUGUUGACAUCUGUCUAGGUUAUAUUCAGUCAGUGGAGCUCCUGUAUUUUCUGUUGCAAAGACGCCAGAAAUGUACCUGAACACACCUCACUUCCAGACCACCAUGACCAUCAGUGUAGAUCUAUUCGUAAGCACUGUUACUAUUUAAGCAAUGCAGGUGCAAGGCAUAAAAAUAGACUUUUGGUCUGGUGUAAGAUAGCAAUAAGCCUUGCUAUUCUGCUUAUUAUAUGCUUAAUGCUAGAGGUCUUCUGAAUACUGCUUUUGUACCAAAAAUGAUAACAAUCACCUGUGGACAUUAACUGUUCAUUAUCACAUCACUAUUAUAAUUUUUUACCUCAUUACCCAACUGUUUUUGAAGUUGUAUAGCUGAAAUAGAGGUGAAAACAUUGUCUAGAUCAUAUGACAGCCAUGUUUUCCUAAAUGUAUAAUCUUUUCAUAGUCCAAAAGUGUUUUAAAACAGUAUUAAAAUAGUUAAUUACUAAAACCUCAUCACAGUCUUAUACAUGCGGUGCUAAAAUAUAUUUUUCCUUUUGGUUUAGUUCCAGCUAGGUUCAGCUGAGGUAGUUCAUGAGGAUGAAUAGAAGUGGUGGAGAUGCUAAGUGUUGGCUAGCAUUAGCUUUUAGUCUAUCACAGAUCCCCAUGUACCAACAACACCAUGUUCUAAUAAGUUUUGGUCAAUUUUUGUUCUACGGCCCCUUUAAGACUGGGAGGAGGAUCUUAUUUGGUAUGCUAAUGAGUACUGAGAGUCCAGGAUUUUAAUCAGUUAAUUGAUCAGGUAUUAAUGUGUCUCUAGAGCUGUAUCUGGUCAGAUGGGAGUGACUCCUCAUACAGAGACUGGAACACUACACAGCCAAACAACCCUGUGGGUGAUAACUGUGUGCACUUAUCGAGGAACAAUGAAUACAAAUGGUCUGAUGCAGGCUGCGAUUGUCAAAUUCCAUUUGUCUGCUAUGAAGGUGAGUAAUAUGAGGCAAUCAAUGCAGCUCAUCUGAUACAGCUCUAGUUUAUUCACUUUUGAUACUUGUGCUUUAUUGUCUGUUCAGACUGUGAGCAGCAAUAAUUGACCAUAUUGUGGCGCUUAGUGGGGACAAACUUCGAUCCACCAGUGCAGUAGCCAGAAAAAGUGCAGUAAUUUAUCAUACAUAUUUUGUUCUUGUCGCACUCAAUUCUGAUUAAGUCUGAUUGUUACUUCCCUUUUCAUAUCUAUGCAUUAGUAUUAAUGCAGUUUAUGGAGAAUACAUUUGUUUUCAUAAGCAUCUGAA